UUUUUUUUCCAAUAAAGGCCUUUUUUGCCGAGUGAAUUUUACCAUAAUCUCUGCAAUCUCAAUCUUGGCAAAAGGAACAAGGAAUAGCAUAUGUCUUCCCAUCACCUGUAUCCCCUCAAAGCAGAACUUGCCUGAAGGGCUGCUCCAGAUUCUGGCUCCCAUCCCAACUGUGCAAAAUCUAUAGAGACUGUGCCCACCACAAGGGUUUUCUGCCUUUCUUCCCAGGGAUUCCUCUGUUUCUGGUGACAUUGCUGACUUAGUCUGGCUGUAACCCCUUGUACUUGACCAAAGGUCAAAAAUCUUUGUGUGGCUAAGGCAGUAUCCAGGAUUCGGAGCCCUCUGGGAUUGAGUGUCAGCUUCCUUUAGCAUCAGCAGGUCUUAGCCCACUUCUGCCCAGUGUUCUUCUCAGAGUAUCCAGAGCAGGGUUUUAUUUUUUCCUUCUCAAAUUCUAUUUUAUGUAACUACAGCAAGCCUUUGUCAUAACGCUGAUUGGAGGCAGCAAGGGUUAUGUCACACCACCUGAUACAGGGAGGCACAUUGUAAAAGAAAGUUUCUAAAGAGCACUUCUUCAUGCUCUCUCUGGCUGAGGCUGCGGUUAGGGUGUGAAUGCAGCCAGUAGCUCGAGGGUGAGGAAAUGCUGUGGCUGCAUUUUAGAGAGAUCUGUGCUGGGGACAGUUUGAAAUUUAAUCCAUUUGGGAACACUCUCGGAACACAGAGUAAGCUGUAAUGGCGAAUAAGGGCUUGAUACUGGCAGCCGCAGAUUAAUUAUUUGCUUUGGGAAAUCUUGGCUGUUGGAGUUAGCAACAAACAUGGAGUAUCCAGCUGUCGGACAUAUCUCACUCCUAACAGGUUUUAUGAGGAGGUUUGCUGUAAUUGCCCUCUAGGACCAGAUAAAUUUUAGGGGUUCUUUCACCAAAGUCAACAGAGGUGAAUUUGGCUUGCAAUGCAAAUCUGUUUGCAUGAUUGUAGAAUUCCAUUCUUGCGUCAGAAAUGUGUUUGUCCAUGUUGGUCCUCUACUUCCAGUGGGGUGCACUCAGCUGUGAACCUACUUCUUGCCCUGGAGCAUCAUUCCAGAGAGAAAAAGUACUUCUGGCUGUAUGAGGGGAACUGUUGGUUGGUUCUGCUCUUACAAGGGCAGUGUUAAUCCUUUUUGUAUCAUAGAGUGCAAUUAUUUUAUUCCUCCUUUCCCCUUCCCACAUAACAUCCGUUGCUGGCAAUGGACACGUGAAAACUCUGGCGUCAAGGAGUUAAUCAAAUCUGCCCUGGGGUAUGCAAUGUCUUCUGAAGCACCCAGAAUACUUAGGAGGAGUGCCCAGAGUCUGGUGAGACACCAAGGGUCUCACUGGCCGCUCAGCAAGGGCAAAGGAGUUGGACUGAAUUAAAACGAAAAAAACGCACAAAGGCCUAACAUUUGUACAUGUAUCUUCCUCAGUAGAUUAAAGUUGCCUGUUUUGAGUUCACCAGCAAUAAAAAAAUUGUGAUUUA